GUGCUUCCUUUGGCAACACACACAUUAAAACUUGAACAAUACACAGAUUAGCAUGGCCCUGUCCAAGAAGGACAUGCAAAUUUCUGAGUCAUUCCGUAUUUAU
ensembl:snRNA U6 U6 spliceosomal RNA